rnacentral:rRNA from 1 species
GACGAACGCUGGCGGCGUGCUUAACACAUGCAAGUCGAACGGAAAGGCCCCUUUGGGGGUACUCGAGUGGCGAACGGGUGAGUAACACGUGAGUAACCUGCCCUUGACUUCGGGAUAACUUCAGGAAACUGGGGCUAAUACCGGCUAGGAAUCCUUGCUGCAUGGCGGGGGUUGGAAAGCUUCGGCGGUUUUGGAUGGACUCGCGGCUUAUCAGCUUGUUGGUGGGGUAGUGGCUUACCAAGGCUUUGACGGGUAGCCGGACUGAGAGGGCGACCGGCCACAUUGGGACUGAGAUACGGCCCAGACUCCUACGGGAGGCAGCAGUGGGGAAUAUUGCACAAGGGGCGGAAGCCUGAUGCAGCAACGCCGCGUGCUGGAUGACGGCCUUCGGGUUGUAAACCGCUUUCAGCAGGGGCGAAGCUUGUGGUGACGGUACCUGCAGAAGAAGCACCGGCUAACUACGUG